rnacentral:misc_RNA from 1 species
GAUGAAGAACGCAGCGAAAUGCGAUAAGUAAUGCGAAUUGCAGAAUUUCCGUGAGUCAUCGAAUCUUUGAACGCACAUUGCGCCCGCCAGCACUCUGGCGGGCAUGCCUGUUCGAGCGUCAUUUCAACCCCUCAAGCCCAGCUUGGUGUUGGGGCACUGCGCCUGCAGGCCCCCAAAUCCAGUGGCGGACGCGCCAGGUCCCCGAGCGCAGUAGAUCUUCUCUCGCUCCGGGCGGCCUGCGCGGGCUUGCCUUGCCCCGUACCCAUCAAGGUUGACCUCGGAUCAGGUAGGAAUACCCGCUGAACUUAAGCAUAUCAAUAAGCGGAGGA